UUACCUUGAACAGCAACGCCAUUGCACCUUAUCUGAAAAUGAAGACAAGUAGUAUAUUGUGUUGUUACUCUCGAGUUAAUAGUUACACAUGCUUAUAGAAACAAAUCUGAUGAUGUUUAAAUUAGUAUGACUAUCACAUUUGUUGCAUGAAAUUAUUCUUACAGAACCAACUCUGAUGAUGUUUAAAUUAGAUGAGAAGCUGAAGUUGAUAGAAUCUCGUCUGGAAAGCAAAAAUUGAGGGCCCACUUCAGGCUUACAUCCUCGUUGACGUACAUCACGUGAUAUUCCUCCGGUGUGGAGUUAAGAAUUUGGGGGUUUCUUUCAAGAAGCAAGUAAAAUGUACAGCAACUAAAGUUUACUUGGUCUCAAAUUCUUCUUGCCCAGGUUCCAAUGGCUCCAAAACAGCCAAACACAGGACUCUUUGUGGGUCUAAAUAAAGGGCAUGUUGUCACCAAGAAGGAAUUAGCACCUCGUCCUUCCGACAGAAAAGGGGCUUAUCAAGAUAUUCUCUAGCUUUGAGAGCUGCAUAAGGCUAAUGAUUAAAAAAAGAAAAGUGAGUCAGUAAAUGGAGAUUCUAAAGAUCAUCAUCCAAAUGCACCAAAAUUUAGAGUAAGAUCGAACCACUAUUAAUGAAGGUAUUCUACUGGGCUAGGAUGCUUGUUGUUUGGAUAUGGAGCCAUGGAAGAACUUGGACCCUUCCGUGUUAACAGUGAUGGAAAAACACUCUACCCCAACCACUAUGCAUGGAACAAUGGUGCAUGCCUAACCCUAUAAAACCUUUGCUUUUGAGGUACUAACUGUUUUCUCCUGGAAUUUUUUUUGCCUGAGAUUUUUUGCUGCCAGCUAUCCCUUCGGGACCACUCUUAUGUAUUAUGUUAAAAGCACCA